rnacentral:rRNA from 1 species
UACGGAGGGAGCUAGCGUUGUUCGGAAUUACUGGGCGUAAAGCGCGCGUAGGCGGCUUUGUAAGUUAGAGGUGAAAGCCCGGGGCUCAACCCCGGAACUGCCUUUAAGACUGCAUCGCUUGAAUCCGGGAGAGGUGAGUGGAAUUCCGAGUGUAGAGGUGAAAUUCGUAGAUAUUCGGAAGAACACCAGUGGCGAAGGCGGCUCACUGGACCGGCAUUGACGCUGAGGUGCGAAAGCGUGGGGAGCAAAACAGGAUUGAGAA